GUGAUGGUGUUUCAGUGGCAGAAAUCUCACCUUCCAUGUAGGUGACCUGGGCUCAAUUCCUGGCCAAUGCA
rnacentral:tRNA from 1 species